rnacentral:rRNA from 1 species
UACGGAGGGUGCGAGCGUUGUUCGGAAUUACUGGGCGUAAAGCGCGUGCAGGCGGCCGACUAAGUCAGGUGUGAAAGCCCGGGGCUCACCUCCGGAAGUGCGCUUGAAACUGGUCGGCUAGAGUACGGGAGAGGGAAGCGGAAUUCCUGGUGUAGCGGUGAAAUGCGUAGAUAUCGGGAGGAACACCUGUGGCGAAGGCGGCCCCCUGGUUGGAUACUGACGCUGAUACGCGAAAGCGUGGGGAGCAAACAGG